rnacentral:rRNA from 1 species
GGCCUGAGAGGGUGACCGGCCACACUGGGACUGAGACACGGCCCAGACUCCUACGGGAGGCAGCAGUGGGGAAUAUUGCACAAUGGGCGCAAGCCUGAUGCAGCGACGCCCGCGUGAGGGAUGACGGCCUUCGGGUUGUAAACCUCUUUCAGCAGGGAAGAAGCCACAAGUGACGGUACCUGCAGAAGAAGCGCCGGCUAACUACGUGCCAGCAGCCGCGGUAAUACGUAGGGCGCAAGCGUUGUCCGGAAUUAUUGGGCGUAAAGAGCUCGUAGGCGGUUUGUCGCGUCUGCUGUGAAAGCCCGGGGCUCAACCCCGGGUCUGCAGUGGGUACGGGCAGACUAGAGUGCAGUAGGGGAGACUGGAAUUCCUGGUGUAGCGGUGAAAUGCGCAGAUAUCAGGAGGAACACCGAUGGCGAAGGCAGGUCUCUGGGCUGUUACUGACGCUGAGGAGCGAAAGCAUGGGGAGCGAACAGGAUWARAUACCCUGGUAGUCCAUGCCGUAAACGUUGGGCACUAGGUGUGGGGGACAUUCCACGUUCUCCGCGCCGUAGCUAACGCAUUAAGUGCCCCGCCUGGGGAGUACGGCCGCAAGGCUAAAACUCAAAGGAAUUGACGGGGGCCCGCACAAGCGGCGGAGCAUGCGGAUUAAUUCGAUGCAACGCGAAGAACCUUACCAAGGCUUGACAUCCACCGGACCGCACUGGAGACAGUGCUUCCCUUCGGGGCUGGUGGACAGGUGGUGCAUGGUUGUCGUCAGCUCGUGUCGUGAGAUGUUGGGUUAAGUCCCGCAACGAGCGCAACCCUCGUUCUAUGUUGCCAGCACGUGAUGGUGGGGACUCAUAUGAGACUGCCGGGGUCAACUCGGAGGGAAGGUGGGGGAUGACGGCGAAUCAUCAUGCCCCUUAUGUCUUGGGCUUCACGCAUGCUACAAUGGCCGGUACAAAGGGGUUGCGAUACUGUGAGGUGGAGCUAAAUCCCAAAAAGCCGGUCUCAAUUUGGAUUGAGGUCUGCAACUCGACCUCAUGAACUCGGAGUCGCUAGUAAUCCGCAGAAUCAGCAACGCUGCGGUGAAUACGUUUCCCCGGGCC